CCUACGGGAGGCAGCAGUGAGGAAUAUUGGUCAAUGGACGAGAGUCUGAACCAGCCACGUAGCGUGAAGGAUGACUGCCCUCUGGGUUGUAAACUUCUUUUAUAUGGGAAUAAAAUGUUCCACGUGUGGGAUUUCGUAUGUACCAUAUGAAUAAGGAUCGGCUAACUCCGUUCCAGCAGCCGCGGUAAUACGGAGGAUCCGAGCGUUAGCCGGAUUUAUUGGGUUUAAAGGGAGCGUAGGUGGAUUGUUAAGUCAGUUGUGAAAGUUUGCGGCUCAACCGUAAAAUUGCAUUUGAAACUGGCAGUCUUGAGUACAGUAGAGGUGAGCGGAAUUCGAGGUGUAGCGGUGAAAUGCUUAGAUAUAACGAAGAACUCCGAUUGCGAAGGCAGCUCACUGGACUGCAACUGACACUGAGGCUCGAAAGUGUGGGUAUCAAACAGGAUUAGAUACCCGAGUAGUC
rnacentral:rRNA from 1 species